UACGAAGGGAGCGAGCGUUGUUCGGAAUCACUGGGCUUAAAGCGUGUGUAGGUGGAUUGGUAAGUAAGGAGUGAAAUCCCAGGGCUUAACCCUGGAACUGCUCUUUAGACUGCCUGUCUGGAAUUCGGAAGAGGUUGGUGGAACUCCCAGUGUAGAGGUGAAAUUCGCAGAUAUUGGGAAGAACACCGGUGGCGAAGGCGACCAACUGGUCCGACAUUGACACUGAGGCACGAAAGCGUGGGGAGCAAACAGG
rnacentral:rRNA from 1 species